rnacentral:rRNA from 1 species
GACGAACGCUGGCGGCGUGCCUAAUACAUGCAAGUAGAACGCAGUUGCGCACGGGUGAGUAACACGUAGGUAACUGUCGGGAAGCGGGGGAUAACUAAUGUGAACGAUAGCUAAUACAGCAUACUACCAGAUGGACCUGCGUGGUAUUAGCUAGUUGGUGAGGGAACGGCUCACCAAGGCAACGAUGCAUAGACGACCCGUGAGGGUGGUUGGGCAAAAGUGGGACUGUACACGGGCCAGACUUCUACCGGGAGCCGCAGGAGGGAAUCUUCGGGCAUGGGGCGAAACCCGAACGGGCAAAGGCGCGUGAGUGAAGAAGGUUUUUGGGUUGUAAAGAUCUGUUGUUAAGGGAGCGGUACCUAACCAGAAAGGGACGGCUAACUACGUGCCAGCCGCCGCGGUAAUAC